UGGGGAAUAUUGCACAAUGGGCGCAAGCCUGAUGCAGCGACGCCGCGUGAGGGAUGACGGCCUUCGGGUUGUAAACCUCUUUCAAUAGGGACGAAGCGCAAGUGACGGUACCUAUAGAAGAAGGACCGGCCAACUACGUGCCAGCAGCCGCGGUAAUACGUAGGGUCCGAGCGUUGUCCGGAAUUACUGGGCGUAAAGAGCUCGUAGGUGGUUUGUCGCGUUGUUCGUGAAAACUCACAGCUUAACUGUGGGCGUGCGGGCGAUACGGGCAGACUAGAGUACUGCAGGGGAGACUGGAAUUCCUGGUGUAGCGGUGGAAUGCGCAGAUAUCAGGAGGAACACCGGUGGCGAAGGCGGGUCUCUGGGCAGUAACUGACGCUGAGGAGCGAAAGCGUGGGGAGCGAACAGGAUUAGAUACCCUGGUAGUCCACGCCGUAAACGGUGGGUACUAGGUGUGGGUUUCCUUCCUUGGGAUCCGUGCCGUAGCUAACGCAUUAAGUACCCCGCCUGGGGAGUACGGCCGCAAGGCUAAA
rnacentral:rRNA from 1 species